ensembl:lncRNA
GUGAGAGAAGACUCCAAACCUCCCUCCACCCGCUCAUUGUAGUGUUGAUGCAUGUUAAAUGUAAUCUUAAUUAGAAAGCAUGCAUAUCGAUACUGGCUGCAGAUUUAAUAUUUUCUGCUUAAUUUCUAAAUGCAAGACACAUUUUACAGAUAAAUAAAGAGGCCAUGGGCUGAUAGGAUACUGGGUGCUUGGAGGCAGUUGUUGGACCAUACAAGGUAUAAGAUUCCUCUUUUUGAACACUGCAGGGGUCAAGGUGGCUUUCUGAUGAGCACUCAAGCAGUUACUGUCACCGUCUGGCUGGCAGACCGUGGGGAUGAGGAAAGUAGGACCCAAAACGCAGGACUCUGCAAUGCCACA